rnacentral:rRNA from 1 species
CCUACGGGUGGCAGCAGUGAGGAAUAUUGGUCAAUGGACGAGAGUCUGAACCAGCCAAGUCGCGUGAAGGAUGAAUGCCCUAUGGGUUGUAAACUUCUUUUAUAUGGGAAUAAAAUGUUCCACGUGUGGGGUUUUGUAUGUACCAUAUGAAUAAGGAUCGGCUAACUCCGUGCCAGCAGCCGCGGUAAUACGGAGGAUCCGAGCGUUAUCCGGAUUUAUUGGGUUUAAAGGGUGCGUAGGCGGUUUGUUAAGUCAGUUGUGAAAGGUUGCGGCUCAACCGUAAAAUUGCAGUUGAAACUGGCAGUCUUGAGUACAGUAGAGGUGGGCGGAAUUCGUGGUGUAGCGGUGAAAUGCUUAGAUAUCACGAAGAACUCCGAUUGCGAAGGCAGCUCACUGGACUGCAACUGACACUGAGGCUCGAAAGUGUGGGUAUCAAACAGGAUUAGAUACCCGUGUAGUC